rnacentral:rRNA from 1 species
AUGACUAGGGAUAACCUUAGGAAGAGACACAUCAUCAAACCCCUUGAUUGUGUUUACUGCUUGGAACAAGAGUCUUGUUCUCACCUAUUUUUUGAAUGUAUAGUUGCUAAACAUCUAUGGGCCCACAUUGAGGAAUAUUUCUCUAGUCAGAUUGGCUCAUCCUUCGAAUCUGUCGCCAGAUUCUGGAUUGCUACCAAAAAGUGUUCAUUAAACACUGUUAGCUCAGCUGUCCUUUGGUGCCUCUGAAAAUAUAGAAAUGCUAUGAUUUUCAGUACACCUCCUGGAUUUCCAUUCCGCAGGUCUUGA